rnacentral:rRNA from 1 species
GGGUUGUGAGGUUAAGCGACUAAGCGUACACGGUGGAUGCCCUGGCAGUCAGAGGCGAUGAAGGGCGUGCUAAUCUGCGAUAAGCGCCGGUAAGGUGAUAUGAACCGUUAUAACCGGCGAUACCCGAAUGGGGAAACCCAGUGUGACUCGUCACACUAUCAUUAACUGAAUCCAUAGGUUAAUGAGGCGAACCGGGGGAACUGAAACAUCUAAGUACCCCGAGGAAAAGAAAUCAACCGAGAUUCCCCCAGUAGCGGCGAGCGAACGGGGAGGAGCCCAGAGCCUGAAUCAGCAUGUGUGUUAGUGGAAGCGUCUGGAAAGGCGCGCGAUACAGGGUGACAGCCCCGUACACAAAAGCGCAUGUGCUGUGAGCUCGAUGAGUAGGGCGGGACACGUGGUAUCCUGUCUGAAUAUGGGGGGACCAUCCUCCAAGGCUAAAUACUCCUGACUGACCGAUAGUGAACCAGUACCGUGAGGGAAAGGCGAAAAGAACCCCGGCGAGGGGAGUGAAAAAGAACCUGAAACCGUGUACGUACAAGCAGUGGGAGCACAGGUUUACCUGUGUGACUGCGUACCUUUUGUAUAAUGGGUCAGCGACUUAUAUUCUGUAGCAAGGUUAACCGAAUAGGGGAGCCGGAGGGAAACCGAGUCUUAAUUGGGCGUUAAGUUGCAGGGUAUAGACCCGAAACCCGGUGAUCUAGCCAUGGGCAGGUUGAAGGUUGGGUAACACUAACUGGAGGACCGAACCGACUAAUGUUGAAAAAUUAGCGGAUGACCUGUGGCUGGGGGUGAAAGGCCAAUCAAACCGGGAGAUAGCUGGUUCUCCCCGAAAGCUAUUUAGGUAGCGCCUCGUGAAUUCAUCUCCGGGGGUAGAGCACUGUUUCGGCUAGGGGGCCAUCCCGGCUUACCAACCCGAUGCAAACUGCGAAUACCGGAGAAUGUUAUCACGGGAGACACACGGCGGGUGCUAACGUCCGUCGUGAAGAGGGAAACAACCCAGACCGCCAGCUAAGGUCCCAAAGUCAUGGUUAAGUGGGAAACGAUGUGGGAAGGCCCAGACAGCCAGGAUGUUGGCUUAGAAGCAGCCAUCAUUUAAAGAAAGCGUAAUAGCUCACUGGUCGAGUCGGCCUGCGCGGAAGAUGUAACGGGGCUAAACCAUGCACCGAAGCUGCGGCAGCGACGCUUAUGCGUUGUUGGGUAGGGGAGCGUUCUGUAAGCCUGUGAAGGUGUGUCGUGAGGCAUGCUGGAGGUAUCAGAAGUGCGAAUGCUGACAUAAGUAACGAUAAAGCGGGUGAAAAGCCCGCUCGCCGGAAGACCAAGGGUUCCUGUCCAACGUUAAUCGGGGCAGGGUGAGUCGACCCCUAAGGCGAGGCCGAAAGGCGUAGUCGAUGGGAAACGGGUUAAUAUUCCCGUACUUGGUGUUACUGCGAAGGGGGGACGGAGAAGGCUAUGUUGGCCGGGCGACGGUUGUCCCGGUUUAAGCGUGUAGGUGUGUGUUCCAGGUAAAUCCGGUUCACUUUAACACUGAGGCGUGAUGACGAGGCACUACGGUGCUGAAGCAACAAAUGCCCUGCUUCCAGGAAAAGCCUCUAAGCAUCAGGUAACAUCAAAUCGUACCCCAAACCGACACAGGUGGUCAGGUAGAGAAUACCAAGGCGCUUGAGAGAACUCGGGUGAAGGAACUAGGCAAAAUGGUGCCGUAACUUCGGGAGAAGGCACGCUGACAUGUAGGUGAAGUGAUUUACUCAUGGAGCUGAAGUCAGUCGAAGAUACCAGCUGGCUGCAACUGUUUAUUAAAAACACAGCACUGUGCAAACACGAAAGUGGACGUAUACGGUGUGACGCCUGCCCGGUGCCGGAAGGUUAAUUGAUGGGGUCAGCGCAAGCGAAGCUCCUGAUCGAAGCCCCGGUAAACGGCGGCCGUAACUAUAACGGUCCUAAGGUAGCGAAAUUCCUUGUCGGGUAAGUUCCGACCUGCACGAAUGGCGUAAUGAUGGCCAGGCUGUCUCCACCCGAGACUCAGUGAAAUUGAACUCGCUGUGAAGAUGCAGUGUACCCGCGGCAAGACGGAAAGACCCCGUGAACCUUUACUAUAGCUUGACACUGAACAUUGAGCCUUGAUGUGUAGGAUAGGUGGGAGGCUUUGAAGUGUGGACGCCAGUCUGCAUGGAGCCGACCUUGAAAUACCACCCUUUAAUGUUUGAUGUUCUAACGUGGACCCGUUAUCCGGGUUGCGGACAGUGUCUGGUGGGUAGUUUGACUGGGGCGGUCUCCUCCUAAAGAGUAACGGAGGAGCACGAAGGUUGGCUAAUCCUGGUCGGACAUCAGGAGGUUAGUGCAAUGGCAUAAGCCAGCUUGACUGCGAGCGUGACGGCGCGAGCAGGUGCGAAAGCAGGUCAUAGUGAUCCGGUGGUUCUGAAUGGAAGGGCCAUCGCUCAACGGAUAAAAGGUACUCCGGGGAUAACAGGCUGAUACCGCCCAAGAGUUCAUAUCGACGGCGGUGUUUGGCACCUCGAUGUCGGCUCAUCACAUCCUGGGGCUGAAGUAGGUCCCAAGGGUAUGGCUGUUCGCCAUUUAAAGUGGUACGCGAGCUGGGUUUAGAACGUCGUGAGACAGUUCGGUCCCUAUCUGCCGUGGGCGCUGGAGAACUGAGGGGGGGCUGCUCCUAGUACGAGAGGACCGGAGUGGACGCAUCACUGGUGUUCGGGUUGUCAUGCCAAUGGCACUGCCCGGUAGCUAAAUGCGGAAGAGAUAAGUGCUGAAAGCAUCUAAGCACGAAACUUGCCCCGAGAUGAGUUCUCCCUGAGACUUAGAGUCUCCUGAAGGAACGUUGAAGACGACGACGUUGAUAGGCCGGGUGUGUAAGCGCAGCGAUGCGUUGAGCUAACCGGUACUAAUGAACCGUGAGGCUUAACCUUACAACGCCGAAG